GGGUUGUGAGGUUAAGCGACUAAGCGUACACGGUGGAUGCCCUGGCAGUCAGAGGCGAUGAAGGACGUGCUAAUCUGCGAUAAGCGUCGGUAAGGUGAUAUGAACCGUUAUAACCGGCGAUUUCCGAAUGGGGAAACCCAGUGUGUUUCGACACACUAUCAUUAACUGAAUCCAUAGGUUAAUGAGGCGAACCGGGGGAACUGAAACAUCUAAGUACCCCGAGGAAAAGAAAUCAACCGAGAUUCCCCCAGUAGCGGCGAGCGAACGGGGAGCAGCCCAGAGCCUGAAUCAGUGUGUGUGUUAGUGGAAGCGUCUGGAAAGGCGCGCGAUACAGGGUGACAGCCCCGUACACAAAAAUGCACAUAUUGUGAGCUCGAUGAGUAGGGCGGGACACGUGGUAUCCUGUCUGAAUAUGGGGGGACCAUCCUCCAAGGCUAAAUACUCCUGACUGACCGAUAGUGAACCAGUACCGUGAGGGAAAGGCGAAAAGAACCCCGGCGAGGGGAGUGAAAAAGAACCUGAAACCGUGUACGUACAAGCAGUGGGAGCACGCUUAGGCGUGUGACUGCGUACCUUUUGUAUAAUGGGUCAGCGACUUAUAUUCUGUAGCAAGGUUAACCGAAUAGGGGAGCCGAAGGGAAACCGAGUCUUAACUGGGCGUUAAGUUGCAGGGUAUAGACCCGAAACCCGGUGAUCUAGCCAUGGGCAGGUUGAAGGUUGGGUAACACUAACUGGAGGACCGAACCGACUAAUGUUGAAAAAUUAGCGGAUGACUUGUGGCUGGGGGUGAAAGGCCAAUCAAACCGGGAGAUAGCUGGUUCUCCCCGAAAGCUAUUUAGGUAGCGCCUCGUGAAUUCAUCUCCGGGGGUAGAGCACUGUUUCGGCAAGGGGGUCAUCCCGACUUACCAACCCGAUGCAAACUGCGAAUACCGGAGAAUGUUAUCACGGGAGACACACGGCGGGUGCUAACGUCCGUCGUGAAGAGGGAAACAACCCAGACCGCCAGCUAAGGUCCCAAAGUCAUGGUUAAGUGGGAAACGAUGUGGGAAGGCCCAGACAGCCAGGAUGUUGGCUUAGAAGCAGCCAUCAUUUAAAGAAAGCGUAAUAGCUCACUGGUCGAGUCGGCCUGCGCGGAAGAUGUAACGGGGCUAAACCAUGCACCGAAGCUGCGGCAGCGACGCUUAUGCGUUGUUGGGUAGGGGAGCGUUCUGUAAGCCUGCGAAGGUGUGCUGUGAGGCAUGCUGGAGGUAUCAGAAGUGCGAAUGCUGACAUAAGUAACGAUAAAGCGGGUGAAAAGCCCGCUCGCCGGAAGACCAAGGGUUCCUGUCCAACGUUAAUCGGGGCAGGGUGAGUCGACCCCUAAGGCGAGGCCGAAAGGCGUAGUCGAUGGGAAACAGGUUAAUAUUCCUGUACUUGGUGUUACUGCGAAGGGGGGACGGAGAAGGCUAUGUUGGCCGGGCGACGGUUGUCCCGGUUUAAGCGUGUAGGCUGGUUUUCCAGGCAAAUCCGGAAAAUCAAGGCUGAGGCGUGAUGACGAGGCACUACGGUGCUGAAGCAACAAAUGCCCUGCUUCCAGGAAAAGCCUCUAAGCAUCAGGUAACAUCAAAUCGUACCCCAAACCGACACAGGUGGUCAGGUAGAGAAUACCAAGGCGCUUGAGAGAACUCGGGUGAAGGAACUAGGCAAAAUGGUGCCGUAACUUCGGGAGAAGGCACGCUGAUAUGUAGGUGAAGUCCCUUGCGGAUGGAGCUGAAAUCAGUCGAAGAUACCAGCUGGCUGCAACUGUUUAUUAAAAACACAGCACUGUGCAAACACGAAAGUGGACGUAUACGGUGUGACGCCUGCCCGGUGCCGGAAGGUUAAUUGAUGGGGUUAGCGCAAGCGAAGCUCUUGAUCGAAGCCCCGGUAAACGGCGGCCGUAACUAUAACGGUCCUAAGGUAGCGAAAUUCCUUGUCGGGUAAGUUCCGACCUGCACGAAUGGCGUAAUGAUGGCCAGGCUGUCUCCACCCGAGACUCAGUGAAAUUGAACUCGCUGUGAAGAUGCAGUGUACCCGCGGCAAGACGGAAAGACCCCGUGAACCUUUACUAUAGCUUGACACUGAACAUUGAGCCUUGAUGUGUAGGAUAGGUGGGAGGCUUUGAAGUGUGGACGCCAGUCUGCAUGGAGCCGACCUUGAAAUACCACCCUUUAAUGUUUGAUGUUCUAACGU
rnacentral:rRNA from 1 species